AUGGACGUGUUCCAACAGCUCUUUGAGAUGUGCGGCCGCGGCUUCUGCAAGCUCAACCAGGCGCUUCUCACUCUGCUGCCGAAGCGAGCCGACGCCCUAGAGCUGCGAGACUACCGCCCGAUAUGCCUCAUUCACAUUGUGGCCAAGGUCUUCGCCAAGGCCCUCUCGCUCCGGCUAGCUCCAAAACUUGACCACCUUGUCAGCCGCAACCAAAACGCAUUCAUCCUCGGACGGAGCCUCCACGACAACUUCAUGCUCGUCCGGCAAUCGCUCAAGCUAUUGAGCCAACUUGGAGCCCCCCGGGUCAUGCUCAAGCUUGACCUCACACGCGCAUUCGACUCCAUAUCAUGGCCAUUCCUCUCUGAGGUCCUGCGCCAAUAUGGGUUCGGUCAUCGCUUCCUUGAGUGGAUUGCCAUCCUUCUGUCCUCGGCGAGCACUCGGGUCCUGUUGAAUGGCGUACCAGGACCACCGAUUUGGCACAGAGAAGGGCUGCGGCAGGGCGACUCUCUGUCCCCGCAGCUAUUCGUACUCGCGGUUGACAUCCUCGGCCGGCUGAUUCAACGCGCCCACGACGCAGGCAUCCUCCUGCCGUUGCACCCGCGGAGGCCUAUUCCGGCGAUAUCACUAUACGCCGACGACGUCAUGCUAUUCUGCCAUGCCACGGAGAGCGAC
rnacentral:rRNA from 1 species